AUAGAUCUAAGUAGAGGCUGCGUUUCUGCCGAAACUUGGGCAACCUUUUUACACAAGCGCUGCAGUGGUCUAAAACUCCCUUUUGGACUGAGCAGCGUGUAAAGGUUGAACGGUCGAAGUUUCUCUCGACAAAGAUUAAAUAGGUAUUAAAUCUAAAAUGUAUUUUCUAAUUAUGCAUACAAAAAUACACCACGGUUUUCUAUAAGUAACUUUUAUAGAAAACUGAAACCAGUGCUGAGGCAGUGCUGGAAACCUACCCUUUAGUACAGUGUAAACUGCUGUGCUCAACCUGGACUUUGUCAAGUCUUCAAGUCCCGAAAGGUAGAUCAAUUUCACAUAAUAAAAAACACUGAACAAUUUGUGAAAAUUAAUAUUAUUGAAAUCUAACAAUUCAAUAAUAAAUAAAUAACGUUGUUAUUUAAUUAGAACUCUUGGUGUGGAGUUUGAGAAUCUCUGUAGGUCGAUGUAAACUAAAAUGGUCCUACAGACAUUAUUGAUCGAUUGAUGAGUAUGCAAGCAUUGAACUGUGAACUACUGUGCUCUCAUGUAAAUGGAUACCCACCGUAAUUUUUCACCUGUUUUUGGAUUGCUGUCUAUAAAUAAAUUCUAAACUGA
rnacentral:lncRNA from 1 species